UACAGAGGGUGCAAGCGUUAAUCGGAAUUACUGGGCGUAAAGCGUGCGUAGACGGUUAUGUAAGUCAGAUGUGAAAGCCCCGGGCUCAACCUGGGAAUUGCAUUUGAGACUGCAUAGCUAGGGUGCGGAAGAGGGAAGCGGAAUUUCCGGUGUAGCGGUGAAAUGCGCAGAUAUCAGGAGGAACACCAAUGGCGAAGGCAGCUCGCUGGGACGUGACUGACGCUGAGACGCGAAAGCGUGGGGAGCAAACAGG
rnacentral:rRNA from 1 species